AUGAGAAACAGUCAACUCACAAUACCUACAUUUAGAGUCGGUUAUUCAUUCAGUCUAAUGAGAAACUAUAGAACAGACUCGGUUUAUAUCACAAUACCUACAUUUAGAGUCGGUUAUUCAUUCAGUCUAAUGAGAAACUAUAGAACAGACUCGGUUUAUAUCACAAUACCUACCUUUAGAGUCGGUUAUUCAUUCAGUCUAAUGAGAAACUAUAGAACAGACUCGGUUUAUAUCACAAUACCUACAUUUAGAGUCGGUUAUUCAUUCAGCCUAAUGAGAAACUGUAGAACGGACUCGGUUUAUAUCACAAUACCUACAUUUAGAGUCGGUUAUUCAUUCAGCCUAAUGAGAAACUGUAGAACGGACUCGGUUUAUAUCACAAUACCUACAUUUAGACUCGGUUAUUCAUUCAGUCUAAUGAGAAACUGUAGAACAGACUCGGUUUAUAUCACAAUACCUACAUUUAGAGUCGGUUAUUCAUUCAGCCUAAUGAGAAACUGUAGAACGGACUCGGUUUAUAUCACAAUACCUACAUUUAGAGUCAGUUAUUCAUUCAGUCUAAUGAGAAACUGUAGAAGAGACUCGGUUUAUAUCACAAUACCUACAUUUAGAGUCGGUUAUUCAUUCAGCCUAACGAGAAACCGUAGAAGAGACUCGGUUUAUAUCACAAUACCUACAUUUAGAGUCGGUUAUUCAUUCAGCCUAACGAGAAACCGUAGAAGAGACUCGGUUUAUAUCACAAUACCUACAUUUAGAGUCGGUUAUUCAUUCAGCCUAACGAGAAACCGUAGAAGAGACUCGGUUUAUAUCACAAUACCUACAUUUAGAGCCGGUUAUUCAUUCAGCCUAACGAGAAACCGUAGAACAGAAUCGGUUUAUAUCACAAUACCUACAUUUAGAGCCGGUUAUUCAUUCAGCCUAACGAGAAACCGUAGAACAGACUCGGUUUAUAUCACAAUACCUACAUUUAGAGCCGGUUAUUCAUUCAGCCUAACGAGAAACCGUAGAACAGACUCGGUUUAUAUCACAAUACCUACAUUUAGAGCCGGUUAUUCAUUCAGCCUAAUGAGAAACUGUAGAACAGACUCGGUUUAUAUCACAAUACCUACAUUUAGAGUCGGUUAUUCAUUCAGCCUAAUGAGAAACUGUAGAACGGACUCGGUUUAUAUCACAAUACCUACAUUUAGAGUCGGUUAUUCAUUCAGCCUAAUGAGAAACUGUAGAACGGACUCGGUUUAUAUCACAAUACCUACAUUUAGAGUCGGUUAUUCAUUCAGCCUAAUGAGAAACUGUAGAACGGACUCGGUUUAUAUCACAAUACCUACAUUUAGAGUCGGUUAUUCAUUCAGCCUAAUGAGAAACUGUAGAACGGACUCGGUUUAUAUCACAAUACCUACAUUUAGAGUCGGUUAUUCAUUCAGUCUAAUGAGAAACUGUAGAACGGACUCGGUUUAUAUCACAAUACCUACAUUUAGAGUCGGUUAUUCAUUCAGUCUAAUGAGAAACUGUAGAACGGACUCGGUUUAUAUCACAAUACCAACAUUUAGAGUCGGUUAUUCAUUCAGCCUAAUGAGAAACUGUAGAACGGACUCGGUUUAUAUCACAAUACCUACAUUUAGAGUCGGUUAUUCAUUCAGUCUAAUGAGAAACUGUAGAACGGACUCGGUUUAUAUCACAAUACCUACAUUUAGAGUCGGUUAUUCAUUCAGCCUAAUGAGAAACUGUAGAACGGACUCGGUUUAUAUCACAAUACCUACAUUUAGAGUCGGUUAUUCAUUCAGUCUAAUGAGAAACUGUAGAACGGACUCGGUUUAUAUCACAAUACCUACAUUUAGAGUCGGUUAUUCAUUCAGCCUAACGAGAAACCGUAGAAGAGACUCGGUUUAUAUCACAAUACCUACAUUUAGAGUCGGUUAUUCAUUCAGCCUAACGAGAAACCGUAGAAGAGACUCGGUUUACAUCACAAUACCUACAUUUAGAGUCGGUUAUUCAUUCAGCCUAACGAGAAACCGUAGCAGAGACUCGGUUUAUAUCACAAUACCCUACAUUUAG
ensembl:lncRNA